CGCGAAUGGCUCAUUACAACAGCUAACAAAUCUACUUGAUCUUGACACAAUCCUACUUGGAUAACUGUGGUAAUUCUAGAGCUAAUACAUGCAUUAAAGCUCUGACCUUCGGGGAAGAGUGCAUUUAUUAGAACAAAACCAAGCGGCUUCGGCUGUUUUCGGUUGACUCAUAGUAACUGAGCUGAUCGCAUGGUCUUGCACCGGCGACGUGUCUUUCGAGUAUCUGCCGUAUCAACUUUCGAUGGUAGUGUAUCUGACUACCAUGGUGAUCACGCGUAACGGAGAAUAAGGGUUCGACUCCGGAGAGUUCGCCUGAGAAAUCGCGAACACAUCUAAGGAAGGCAGCAGGCGCGAAAAUUACCCACUCUCAGCACGAGGAGGUAGUGACGAAAAAUAACGAGGCCGUUCUCUUAUGAGGCCGGUCAUCGGAAUGGGUACAAUUUAAACCCUUUAACGAGUAUCUAUGAGAGGGCAAGUCUGGUGCCAGCAGCCGCGGUAAUUCCAGCU
rnacentral:rRNA from 1 species